UGCAACGCGAAAACCUUACCACCUUUGUACAUGUACGGAAGCCUUUAGAGAUAGAGGCGUGCUCGAAAGAGAGCCGUAACACAGGUGCUGCAUGGCUGUCGUCAGCUCGUGUCGUGAGAUGUUGGGUUAAGUCCCGCAACGAGCGCAACCCUUAUCAUUAGUUGCUACGCAAGGGCACUCUAAUGAGACUGCCGGUGACAAACCGGAGGAAGGUGGGGAUGACGUCAAGUCCUCAUGGCCCUUAUGGGUAGGGCUUCACACGUCAUACAAUGGUCGGUACAGAGGGUUGCCAAGCCGCGAGGCGGAGCCAAUCCCACAAAGCCGAUCGUAGUCCGGAUUGUUCUCUGCAACUCGAGAGCAUGAAGUCGGAAUCGCUAGUAAUCGCAGGUCAGCAUACUGCGGUGAAUACGUUCCCGGGUCUU
rnacentral:rRNA from 1 species